AGAAGCUGGAGCGGCAAUGAGAAGAUCAUCGGCGCGAUGAUCUCGUCGACCUCCGGCAGCACGAUCGU
rnacentral:sRNA from 1 species